rnacentral:lncRNA from 1 species
UCGCUACAACAGCCACCGUCUGAUUUUUGAGUUGAGGGCAAUCUCUGACUGAUGUUCCAACUCCUCAUACCGAUAAUAUCUGAUUUUGCUCAAGUUCCUUCUAGACUUGAACCGCCCUCAUCGCGAUCUCCUGUCGCUCUAUCUACCACCUCCUACUCCUUCAGAAGCCAUCAAAGUUGAGCUACCUCCAUCUGAGCUCGAAGCUGGAUUCUUUUUCCUAAGAAUCUCG